GGGAAGAGAGAGACAAAGAGGGAGAAAUGAGAGAGAGACACACAAGGGGAGGGGAAGAAAGAGGCAGAGGGGGAAGAGAGAGACUGGGAAGGAGAGGGGAGAUAUUGACACAGAGGAGCAGUGAGGGGGAGAAAGAAACAUACAGUGACUGGGGGAGACAAAAAGGCACACAGAGGGGCUGGAGAUAAAGAGACACACAUAGGGGCAGUAUAUAUCACAAAGCCCCCAAGGCCUUCCCCUGCCGGCCGAUCUCCCUCCCCGUUCCACAGGCACCGUGCAGCCAGUCGGCAGGGGAGGAAGAGAGGACCUG